UACGUAGGUGGCAAGCGUUGUCCGGAUUUACUGGGCGUAAAGGAUGCGUAGGCGGACAUUUAAGUCAGCUGUGAAAUACCCGAGCUUAACUUGGGUGCUGCAUUUGAAACUGGGUGUCUAGAGUGCAGGAGAGGUAAGUGGAAUUCCUAGUGUAGCGGUGAAAUGCGUAGAGAUUAGGAAGAACACCAGUGGCGAAGGCGACUUACUGGACUGUAACUGACGCUGAGGCAUGAAAGCGUGGGGAGCAAACAGG
rnacentral:rRNA from 1 species